AUUGAACGCUGGCGGCAUGCCUUACACAUGCAAGUCGAACGGCAGCACGGGAGCAAUCCUGGUGGCGAGUGGCGAACGGGUGAGUAAUAUAUCGGAACGUGCCCGGUCGUGGGGAUAACGUAGCGAAAGCUACGCUAAUACCGCAUACGAUCUACGGAUGAAAGCGGGGGAUCGCAAGACCUCGCGCGAUUGGAGCGGCCGAUAUCAGAUUAGGUAGUUGGUGAGGUAAAGGCUCACCAAGCCGACGAUUUGUAGCUGGUCUGAGAGGACGACCAGCCACACUGGGACUGAGACACGGCCCAGACUCCUACGGGAGGCAGCAGUGGGGAAUUUUGGACAAUGGGCGCAAGCCUGAUCCAGCAAUGCCGCGUGCAGGAUGAAGGCC
rnacentral:rRNA from 1 species